CAACGGCUUGAGGCUGAGGGUUCGGAUGAAGUGAUCCCUGCCUGCGACCAGCUGGACUUUCCGCUCAUACCCCACCUAAAGCAAAAGUACACAGAGGGCAGCUGGUGUGCCAGGCCGCACUGCUCAAGAAAAGUCCCGUGUCAGGGCGCGACAGUGGGAAAACAGGGUCUCAUAUAGGUCAAGCUGGCAUAUCAAACUCGCAAGGAGCUAAGAGUGACCUGAUUCUCCUGCAUCCACCUCUCAAUUGCUGGAGUUACCAAGCAGACAUCACCAGAUCCCUGCAGUUCCCAUGACCAAGAUAUUCUUGAAGGCCCUGCUGGGGUCAGACUGGAUCACCAAAGGAAGCCCUGCAAGUCACGCUUUAGGAAGAAACUGCCAGCUGUGCAGCACUGUGCAGCUGUUGAGACCCAGACUAGGACUGUCAGAGAACUUUCGGGAAGAAUCCUGGAAACAGAAAGACGGGGCUCCGCCGGGCUCUCACCGGAAGCGAGCUCACCAGUUCAGCAGUCUGGCCAGCUUUGAGGAUACCAUCUCCCACCUGUCUGUGCUGGGAUUACAGGCAGGCUGUAAGGCCUGCUCUGCAUUUAUUUAUGUGCUGCAGACCUCAAGCUUGGGAGGAAAUCACUGAACCAUCUCCCCAGCUGCCUAAAAUUCAUCCAUAAAGGAGUGUAACUGCUGCUACAACGUUUUAUCUCAGUAUCUGGGCAUGGAGGUCCACAUCUGUUAUCUCGGUACUGAGGAGGUGAAAACAGGCGGUGUGGGGGGUCCACAUCUGUCAUCUCGGUACUGAGGUGAAAACAGGCAGCGUGGGGGGUCCACAUCUGUCAUCUCGGUACUGAGGUGAAAACAGGCAGCGUGGGGGGUCCACAUCUGUAAUCUAGGUACUGGGGAGGUAAAAGCAGGCGGCAUGGAGGGUCCACAUCUGUAAUCUAGGUACUGGGGAGGUAAAAGCAGGCGGCGUGGGGGGUCCACAUUUGUAAUCUAGGUACUGGGGAGGUAAAAGCAGGCGGCGUGGGGGUCCACAUCUGCAAUCUAGGUACUCGGGAGGUGAAAGCAGGUGGCCUGUCUACUGCAUGGCAAGAUCCUGUCUCAGUUUAUGGCUUAAACAGACAAGUCUCUACUGUUAAUUUAGGAAUAUUCACAUCUCUUAGUUGGGUGUGGUAGAACAUGCCUGUAAUCUCAGAGCCAACAACUCCAAGUUCAAGGCCUGGUCUACAUAGGGAGUUCCAGGUUUCCCUUACUGUAAUUGUCUUCAAAUUAUGCUACACUAGUCUGAAAUGCCCCCCCCACCUCCCAAGACAGGGUUUUUUUUCUGUGUAGCUUUGGCACUUGUCCUGGAACUCGCUCUAGCCUUGAACUCAGAGAUCUGCUUGCU